rnacentral:rRNA from 1 species
CAAUAGCGUAUAUUAAAGCUGUUGCGGUUAAAAAGCUCGUAGUUGGAUUUCUGUCAGGGACAACUGGUCCGCCCUCCGGGUGAGCACAUAGUUUGGUCUUGGCAUCUUGCUGGAAACUGUUGCUGCGCUUGGUUGUGUGGUGCAGCUUUCAGCACUUUCACUUUGAGGAAAUUGGAGUGUUUCAAGCAGGCACAUGCCUUUGGACACAGUAGCAUGGAAUAAUUAGAUUGGGCUUUUGCUCCAACUUGUUGGUUCCUGGAGCUGAGGUGAGAAUCAAUGGGGAUUGUUGGGGGCAUCCGAAUUUAGCCGUCAGAGGUGAAAUUCUUGGAUCUGCUAAAGACGGACAACUGCGAAAGCGUUUGCCCAGGAUGUUUUCAUUGA